UGGGGAGUAGGUCAACAGGUAGACGGUCGGACUGUUAAUCCGGAGGUUGCAGGUUCGAAUCCUGCCUCCCCAGCCA
rnacentral:tRNA from 1 species